UUUAUUCUGCUUAUACUUCCACAUUGCUGUUCAUCACAAAGGACUGUUCUAGAACUGAAGCUGGUGAUGGGCCACACCCAGGGAGACGCUGCUUCUUAGGCCUUCCCUCCUGUCUCCAGCUCCCCCAUAAGCCAGGGAGCAGCGCUCUGCUGGUGUCAAGGCUGCUGCAAAACCAAGAGUGGAUGCUGAGUGGUGGUGAUCCAAGGCUUGUGUUCUGAGUAAUGGGAUUUCAGCUGAGUCACCAGACUGGGUUUGGCCAUGCUGGGGAUUGAACCCAAGGGCUUCUAGCAUGCUAGGGACCUCAGGGCAGUGCUGAGUUUACCAGGAAGGUAUUACCAAGCAGGAAGUUUGAUGUCCUGGAGGCACCUGACAGCUCUCAUGAACCCAGAGCAGUAUGGAAGACUUGGAGGAGCAGGACCA